GGAGAGAUGGCUGAGUGGUUGAUAGCUCUGGUCUUGAAAACAAAAAACUAUUGGGGGUUUGAAUCCCUCUCUCUCCU
rnacentral:tRNA from 1 species